GGCGGGGAAACACAGUGUGUUAUAUUUGAUUAGGAAAUCAUAGUAAUACAGUCGAUAUUAGGCUUUCUAUGAUGUAAUGUGCGUGCUAUGAUACAAACUUUUUAUUAUGUUUGCUUUGUAUAGUCUAGGACAAAACAUCAUGGUUCCAAGGUUUUUUCUUGUAGUUUAUUUAGACCUGUAGCCUUUAUGUAGAUUUUAUAAAGAU
rnacentral:lncRNA from 1 species